CGUGGAUCAUAACAGAUUUUAGUAUUAGCGAAACGGAAUGUUCUGCAUGUCAUUCAACCUCGUACCCAGGCUCUUUUCACUACCUCCUCGUAGUGGAAAAAGCCUGGGUACGAGGUUGCAUGUCAUUUGCAUUAGGUUCGUCACGUGAAAAAUGGGGUUUGAGAAUACCACGGCGACAGACACAUGUUAACAUAAACUGACACUUCAAUCAUUGAAAUUUUCACUGUGCUAUUAGCUCAUUUGCUGUAAGAUUAGAAAAUAACUCAAAGCUUUUGCUUGUUUUAUAUGCAUAAGAAAUUUUACAAUGUUUAUAACUAUUAAAUCAGUCAAGAAUAGUUGUGUUUUGACUAUGUGAAGAGCUG